GGAGGGGUGGCCGAGUUUGGUUUAAGGCGGUAGUCUUGAAAACUACUGUAGCCGUAAGGUUACCGGGGGUUCGAAUCCUCUCCCCUCCG
rnacentral:tRNA from 1 species